GGGUAGUACGGCCGCAAGGCUAAAACUCAAAGGAAUAGACGGGGGCUUGCACAAGCGGUGGAGCGUGUGGCUCAAUUCGUCGCUAAGCGAAGAACCUUACCAAGGCUAGAAAUCCUACUGCACGCCGAGCGAAAGCUCGGAAGCCUUCGAGGGUGUAGGACAGGUGAUGCAUGGCUGUUUUCGACGGCCCUUUCCGCCGCAAGGUGGAUCGAUCACUGGCUCAUAACGGUGAAGUCCAGCCCCUUCAGAUACGUUGCGAUAUACUUAUCGUGAUGCACUCUGGAGACUUUGACUUGACUCUUUCCGACGAAGUGCGGAGGAAGGAGCUGGAUAAUACCGUGGGAAAUUGGAGCGUGCAUUUCUGGGAAAAAUAUCCGGACGAUUGUUAUUCGUUUGGCCUCUGGUGCGCCGAUGGGUAUCAUCGAAGCAGCAGCAUAGGCAUUUCAAACGUCGACAUUCGUCUGGUUGAGAGAUUUAGGACAUUCUUGCAGAAAGAGUUUCCAUCAUCGCGAUUUAGGCUGCGGAUCUACCAUCCGUACGGGAUGGGCUUGGAUCUUGAGUCGUAUCGACAUCUAAGCGAGACAAUCGUUUCGUACCCGAUGCGCAAAUCAAGCCAAGCUGCGAUGCAGUUGUACGUAAACUCACGGCCGCUCUUGCGGUUGAUGCAGGAUUCACGACAGCAUGUCGAGCGCAUGGAUGACAGGGAACAGAUCGUCGCAUACUUUGCCGGCCGUUUCGACGGCGACGGCUCGGUGUACGCCGACGGCAAGACGUAUUGCCGGAUCGCAUACAGCAGCGAGGCAGAAGCAAGAAUGGAUCAGCAACUGCUUCUGAAGAUCGGCAUUACGAAAUCAUCGGUCUAUCACUACAAACAGGCGCAAGAAUAUUGCCUGUACAUCUCAAAAAAUAUCGCAUCGUCGUUUGUCGGCAUGAUAAGCCAAUAUGCACUAACGACUCCAGAAAUGCAUGCUUCAGUACCCGUAGAGACUUUCCCGGCUCUUUCUUAGGAAAGGGCGGGAGGAUGGGAGAAGUUGCCGGGCAAAAGCUCGGAGAACACUCUCAUAAAACGCCAGCUCCCGCGCAAGCGGGAUGAAAGUAUAGUCCGUGCCCGUAGUAAUACGGGACUUGACACAGUCGUCAGUUCGUGGUUUGAAUCGUUCCCUUCAGUGGGGUAACGAACGCAACCCUCGUUGCCUGUUACAAGUGUCAGGCGAGACUGCCCCCUCACGGGGGAGGAAGGUGAGGAUGACGCCAAGUCAGCAUGUCCCUCUGAUGCCUUGGGCUGCACACGCGCUACAAUCGCCACUACAGCGGGGCGCGACGGGGUAACCCUGAGCAAAUCCUUCAAAAGUGGCGCCAGUUCGGAUUGGGGUCUGCAACUCGACCCCAUGAAGCCGGAAUCGCUAGUAAUCGCGGGUCAGCCACACCGCGGUGAAUACGUUCUCAAGCCUUGUACU
rnacentral:ncRNA from 1 species